UGGGGAAUAUUGGACAAUGGGCGCAAGCCUGAUCCAGCCAUGCCGCGUGAGUGAUGAAGGCCCUAGGGUUGUAAAGCUCUUUCACCGGUGAAGAUAAUGACGGUAACCGGAGAAGAAGCCCCGGCUAACUUCGUGCCAGCAGCCGCGGUAAUACGAAGGGGGCUAGCGUUGUUCGGAUUUACUGGGCGUAAAGCGCACGUAGGCGGACUUUUAAGUCAGGGGUGAAAUCCCGGGGCUCAACCCCGGAACUGCCUUUGAUACUGGAAGUCUUGAGUAUGGUAGAGGUGAGUGGAAUUCCGAGUGUAGAGGUGAAAUUCGUAGAUAUUCGGGGGAACACCAGUGGCGAAGGCGGCUCACUGGACCAUUACUGACGCUAAGGUGCGAAAGUGUGGGGAGCAAACAGG
rnacentral:rRNA from 1 species